CCUACGGGUGGCAGCAGUAGGGAAUAUUGCUCAAUGGGGGAAACCCUGAAGCAGCAACGCCGCGUGGAGGAUGACGGUUCUAUGAGUUUAAACUCCUUUUGGUAAAGAAGAUUUUGAGUGUAUCUAACGAAUAAGCACCGGCUAACUCCGUACCAGCAACGGCGGUAAUAAGGCGGGUGCAGGCGUUACUCGGAAGCACUGGGCGUAAAGAGGGCGUAGGGGGGAAAAUAGGUUCGAUGUGAAAACCUUUAGUUUAACUACAGAACUGCCGUUGAAACUGUUACUCUUGAGUGUGGGAGAGGUAUGUGGAAUGCUUGGUGUAGGGGUAAAAUCCGUAGAGAUCAAGAGGAAUACUCAUUGCGAAGGCGACCUGCUGGAACCUUACUGACGCUGAUGCACGAAAGCGUGGGUAGCAAACAGGAUUAGAUACCCGAGUAGUC
rnacentral:rRNA from 1 species